GGGAGGGUGCCGAUGUCGUCUUGUUGAUUGUGCAGAGGCGCCCUUCCAUCCUUCUGUUAACGUUUCUGAUAUUCAUUUAUUGGUCUCGGGCUCAGAUAUUUUACCUUGAGAAAAUUAGAGUGUUCCAGGCAGGCUCGCGCCGGAAUACAUUAGCAUGGAAUAAUAGAAUAGGACUUUAGUCUCCUUUGUUGGUUUGAGGGACUGAAGUA
rnacentral:rRNA from 1 species